UACGAGGGGGGCGAGCGUUGUUCGGAAUUAUUGGGCGUAAAGGGCGCGUAGGCGGUGCGGUAAGUCACCUGUGAAACCUCUAGGCUUAACCUAGAGCCUGCAGGCGAAACUGCCGUGCUGGAGUGUGGGAGAGGUGCGUGGAAUUCCCGGUGUAGCGGUGAAAUGCGUAGAUAUCUGGAGGAACACCGGUGGCGAAGGCGACAUCCUGGACCAACACUGACGCUGAGUGAGCGAAAGCCAGGGGAGCAAACGGG
rnacentral:rRNA from 1 species